UGACUUGUGGCUGGGGGUGAAAGGCCAAUCAAACCGGGAGAUAGCUGGUUCUCCCCGAAAGCUAUUUAGGUAGCGCCUCGUGAAUUCAUCUCCGGGGGUAGAGCACUGUUUCGGCAAGGGGGUCAUCCCGACUUACCAACCCGAUGCAAACUGCGAAUACCGGAGAAUGUUAUCACGGGAGACACACGGCGGGUGCUAACGUCCGUCGUGAAGAGGGAAACAACCCAGACCGCCAGCUAAGGUCCCAAAGUCAUG
rnacentral:rRNA from 1 species